UGCAGUCGAGCGGAUGAUGGGAGCUUGCUCCUGGAUUCAGCGGCGGACGGGUGAGUAAUGCCUAGGAAUCUGCCUGGUAGUGGGGGACAACGUUUCGAAAGGAACGCUAAUACCGCAUACGUCCUACGGGAGAAAGCAGGGGACCUUCGGGCCUUGCGCUAUCAGAUGAGCCUAGGUCGGAUUAGCUUGUUGGUGAGGUAAUGGCUCACCAAGGCGACGAUCCGUAACUGGUCUGAGAGGAUGAUCAGUCACACUGGAACUGAGACACGGUCCAGACUCCUACGGGAGGCAGCAGUGGGGAAUAUUGGACAAUGGGCGAAAGCCUGAUCCAGCCAUGCCGCGUGUGUGAAGAAGGUCUUCGGAUUGUAAAGCACUUUAAGUUGGGAGGAAGGGUUGUAGAUUAAUACUCUGCAAUUUUGACGUUACCGACAGAAUAAGCACCGGCUAACUCUGUGCCAGCAGCCGCGGUAAUACAGAGGGUGCAAGCGUUAAUCGGAAUUACUGGGCGUAAAGCGCGCGUAGGUGGUUUGUUAAGUUGGAUGUGAAAGCCCCGGGCUCAACCUGGGAACUGCAUCCAAAACUGGCAAGCUAGAGUACGGUAGAGGGUGGUGGAAUUUCCUGUGUAGCGGUGAAAUGCGUAGAUAUAGGAAGGAACACCAGUGGCGAAGGCGACCACCUGGACUGAUACUGACACUGAGGUGCGAAAGCGUGGGGAGCAAACAGGAUUAGAUACCCUGGUAG
rnacentral:rRNA from 1 species